UAGACUAAUGGUAAUGACUGGUGACUGAGGAGUCGUGGAUGAUGACAACAGGUGUCUAAACUCUGAAGUCCAA
ensembl:snoRNA